rnacentral:rRNA from 1 species
AACCAGACUCCUACGGGAGGCAGCAGUGGGGGAUAUUGCACAAUGGGGGGAACCCUGAUGCAGCGACGCCGCGUGAGCGAUGAAGUAUUUCGGUAUGUAAAGCUCUAUCAGCAGGGAAGAAAAUGACGGUACCUGACUAAGAAGCCCCGGCUAACUACGUGCCAGCAGCCGCGGUAAUACGUAGGGGGCAAGCGUUAUCCGGAUUUACUGGGUGUAAAGGGAGCGUAGACGGCUGUGCAAGCCAGAUGUGAAAGCCCGGGGCUCAACCCCGGGACUGCAUUUGGAACUGUGUGGCUGGAGUGUCGGAGAGGCAGGCGGAAUUCCUAGUGUAGUGGUGAAAUGCGUAGAUAUUAGGAGGAACACCAGUGGCGAAGGCGGCCUGCUGGACGAUGACUGACGUUGAGGCUCGAAAGCGUGGGGAGCAAACAGGAUUAGAUACCCGAGUA